GAUACAUCAAGAUAUCAAUUUUUGAACUCAUAUAUUUAUUAUGUUAUUAUCAGUAAAUUAAUAUAUGUAAUAUUAUUAUCUGAUUUAUUCAGUUAAAGGUAUACAUUACUUAUCGGACUAUAUAGUUUAUGAUGAUUUUUUUAUUUUUUAUAGAUUCAAAAAAUUAGCUUGAUGCAGAAUUUUUAUUAGGAGUGCAGUUAG
rnacentral:lncRNA from 1 species